rnacentral:tRNA from 1 species
GGAAAGAUGGCGGAGCCCGGUUUAACGCGCACGACUCGAAAUCGUGUGAGCUGGAGACAGCUCCGAGGGUUCAAAUCCCUCUCUUUCCGCCA